rnacentral:lncRNA from 1 species
CGGCGUGCCCGGGAGCGGCCGGAGCCGGCGUGGCGCUGCGCGGCGAAGCUGAGACCGCAGAGGGGUGCUGCGCCUGCUCCCGGACCUGGUGACGGGAAGGACUAACAAACACAAGUGCCCACACCAUUCCCGGGAACUGCUGCAAUUGCAUUGACUUCAGGCUAUGAAGACAUCGCGUGUCCUGCCCCAGCAGAGCGUAUCGAGGCACAGGCUCAGCCACGUGGCCGGCUGUGUGGGACACGCCAACCCGCUGCCCAGGACCUCAGGACAGGCAAGGGCUGGGUGAAAGCGUGCAGCCAGGCACCGUGCUUCCCGUUUUCCCUCCUCGUGUUAAAUCUCGUUGGUGUUCAGACUGUGGCCGCUGUCCGAGCGGGUUUGUUUCCUGGGUGCCCUGGGAGCCCCGAGGACCUGCAGGCCUGUGUGCUCAGCCCCGGCCCUUCCCCGGCCCCGGCCCAGCUGCGCGUGCGUGAGGAGCCCCCAGCCAGUGCCUGCUCCUUCUGGCUGUGCUUUACCAUCACUGCUGUGCCUGCGCUUCUGGGUCUGUUUUCUGUUGUCUUUGGAUCAGGCUCAAUGCUUUUUCACCCCCGGUGAAAAUCAAAAAUUCGGUAAAGAAUAAGGUACGAACAGCUGGCCGAGCUACUGGCAUUGAGGGGCCCAUUCCUUAAGUGAGGUUUACUCUCAGUUUAUUUUUCCUGGCAUUUAGCUUAAGGCACUUCAGUGAGAGAAGAUGUUUUCACUUUGGACAAUCCUCAAGGAGAUUCAAUUUCGGGGGAAAAAAAAUUACGCUUCCUUCUCAAACUAGCUCUUGAAAUACUCAGAAGGCCUCUUUUGCAGCCGCCUUUAGGUGGUGGGGUGUCCUCCUGAACAAGUGCUGUCUGCACACAGCUGUGACACUUGCUCAGUUGUACAGUCCCCCUGGCUUUUGGGAACCAUUAUCACUAGUCAGACUUUCUGAAUGUCACAGUAGGCAGUGUUUCACCCAAACAGUGAACCCUGGGAUGGCAAGAGGUUCUGGGGAAGGUGGUUAACGUACCUCGAGUGGACGGGCUGUAAAUGCAGGUUGGCAAUGAUUCUGUAGUAAUUUCUUAACUGAGCAUUGUCACCUGGCAGUGUUUUCCAGAGGUGAAUGACACCAAACGAAGUCUUUUUGGUGUUUCAUUAAGGACUAAUUGUGCACUGCUGAUGUUAACGGUAUAGUUAAUUGACUUCUGUGAGCACCGGGCAGAAUCAGGAGUUUCACGAGCACUUGGUGCCACUGCAGGUCAUGCAGAGUAGCUUUUGGUCUCAGUUAAUCGACUUUUUGACUGAAUCGUACCGAGGUAUCAGCACAAACUGAACUUCUUGUAGAAACUGGGGGAUCUAAGUGAGUAUUCUCUGAUGUCUAAAGAGGGUUGUACUCAUGUUAGAGUCCUACCCAGGAGAGUCUCUGAGACCUUCUUAGCAGUCUUCUCUUCCCACCACUGGUAGGAACUCAGGUCUAAGACGAAGUAGCAUGAGCAGCCAGCAGGUUUGCUGUGAGCAGGUUCAGAAU